GACGGAGGGUGCAAGCGUUGUUCGGAAUCACUGGGCGUAAAGCGCGUGUAGGCGGUUGAGUAAGUCGGAUGUGAAAGCCCGGAGCUUAACUCCGGAAGUGCAUUCGAAACUGUUCGGCUCGAGUACGGGAGAGGGAAGUGGAAUUCCUGGUGUAGAGGUGAAAUUCGUAGAUAUCAGGAGGAACACCGGUGGCGAAGGCGGCUUCCUGGACCGAUACUGACGCUGAGACGCGAAAGCGUGGGGAGCAAACAGG
rnacentral:rRNA from 1 species